rnacentral:misc_RNA from 1 species
AAAAAUCCUAAGGCCUGAAAGCACACAGUAGUAGACUGCAGAAAGUUAGAAACAGAGAAACGCCACAUUAUCAAAAGCCAAAAUGGCAUCAACGGCGACCCAUUUCUCCGCCGCCCUGUUCCUUCUCCCCAUUAGGAUGCGCCACCUCUUCUGUUCCUCAUCUCUCUACCUCAAGAACCCAUCUUUGUUCAGAUCAAAAACAUGAUAUCUCUCUGAUCCCAAAUGGAAGAAUCUUGAUUUAUAUAUCCUCAAUGUAGCUCUCCCAAUUGCUCUUUCUCUGAAAUUUUCCUUUUUUUAUCUUUUGCCGGUCACCCCGCUUACCGUUUCUCAUUCAUGCAUCAAUCCCUGGUUUUUUUUCUUUACUGGGUGUUGACCAUUUUAUUUCUUUUGCGAGAUAGCAUUGACCUAUUUACACUAAAUGAUAGCUUCUUGUUUGUAUUAACGGGGCUUGUGUUCUUCAUAGACUAUUCAGCUAUUGCGAACGGGAUUUCUGGUAUUGUUGGUGGAGUUGUGUACGAUUUGUGUGGUUAUUUGACCAUUCUUUGUGGUUGCUGCUGUUUUUAUUUGGCUGUUAGGCCUAGUGCCUUUUUCAUGGAGUUUUGCUUUUGUUGUGGGUUGGUCUUAAGGGGGACUUGGAUUUUGCAAGCUGGGUUGUGCUUGUAUAUUGACUUUUUUUCCUUUAAGGGGUGUCAUAAAAUAAUGGUUUCUCCAGAAUGUGAAAAUGCUGAGUUGAAGUGUGAUCUUGAAGAGGAUGGAUUGACGGGUGUGGCAUUGGUUGAUUUGUUAUUUAUUGGGCAUGCAAUUGGGGUCUUGCUUGUGAGCUUUGGGUUGUUUGGGUUAUUGUCAAGUCAUAGGAAUUCAAGUCAUGGCGAGGCAAGUGGUGCUUUGCUGGCAGAGCUCCAAUCAGAGAGUACUUUGAUACGCACACUUCCUGGAUUUGAGCUGGAAUUGAGUGACCUGCAAGUCACAACAAGAGAAUUAGUCUUGCUGUAUUGUUAGCUCAUGCUUCUGUUGAAGGACAGGACAAUAGGAUACCAAAAGAAACAAACCCCCCAUUGGUGCUCAAAUCGUCUAAAGGUUCGCCUCUCAGUUCUGGUGGAGGAAUGGGUAACCAGGUGCAAGGUGGUGCUUUGGACCAUUUUUCUGAACUUCCCACAUCCAUAAGUUCCUGAAAAAAGGCUGUUGCUAUGAUCACAUCUGAAGGUUCUUUAAAACGCAUUGGGAAUACUGCAGUGAUUUUUUGUUGCUGUCCAACAAAUCAAUUUACUUUAAUUUAGACAAUCUGUAUGAGGAUAAAAAUGUGCAUUGAUCUUUAUCCUUUAAAAUUUGUUAAGAGGCGUUGUUUCCAAUCCUGAAAGAUGAGUAGAGCAUAUUGCUGAUUUUAUCAAAAGUGAGUGAAGAGGGUUGUUUUUGGUAGCUUUUUGUCUAAAUAUAAUUUUUAGUGAAUCUCUCCUGAGUAUAUUUGAAUGCAGUUUUGGAGAUUUACAUAAGAGACAAUAAUGUAUGAAUCUAGCGGUCUAUUUUAAGUUGCUCAAAUAUUUGUAAUUGCUUGGAAAUCCAACAAAAUAGUAAAAAUUUAUCUAUGGGAAAGGCUUGAUGAACUUACCUCACAAGCAUCUGGCCAGAAUGAUCUAAUGGCAUUUUUUUUACAGUCUAAAUGGUUGGAAAAUUAUUUUUAUAUACUCUUGGAUUUAUACAAAUUUCUGAAAGUUUUUCUCAGCAUAGUAUGGUUUUAUCAUGCACGUGACAUGAAAAUAUAGUUGACUAACAUUUUUAAUUCUAAAAUUUUGUUUGGUCACAAUAUCUUUUGAAGCCUACACAUCCUCCUUUGGGUUCUUAUUGACACCUUACUAUGCUGAAGAAGUAGCAAUUCCUUGUAUAGAAAUUACCUGUUUGAUGACAUAAAAUGGUUCUCUUGGGUGGUAGACAAGUUUGAUUGGCUUAUGCAUCCCCUGAGACAUAUCCUGAGAAUUGACAUUCUCCAACAUUUCUUUCAGCUGGGAACUUAAAAUUACUGCUUGCACCGAAGAAAUUUGUGUAAUCACCUUUUUAGAGUCUUUUUCAUUUGGAAUCUUGGAAAAAUCAAGUUUUAGAGUGAGCUGGUAUCCUUCUCUUGGUGGUUCAACAAUUUCCACAGCAUCAGAGCAAGCUUCCUUUAUCAUCUGUUUAGUGUAUCGCGAGAACCCAUAUGAUUGGUGAACUCCUUGGAAAAGCAUUGGAGUUGAUAUCGACAGGUAGUUAUGAUUUGGAUCUGCUGCUGGAGACUGUUAAAAUUCCAUAAGAAAUAAAAAAAAUGAAAGCCUGCUUAUAUAUUGAUAGUCUCUCUCUCUGUGUGUCAAGAUGACAAGUAAUAUAAUGAUAAGGUUAGCUUCAAAUCUCUUUGCAUUUCAAUUAAAACAUUAGCCAAAGCUAUUGUAAUCAAGUAGAAGCUGGAUGUAUAGAAUAGACUCACCUGAAUGUGGUACUCUACAGACCCAAAUUCAUACAAGUGAUAAUCAAUCUCCACAUGCUUUUCAGCGCUAUCACAGAAAAAAGAAUAUUGAUUGGUAUUUACCUUUCUGCAUAAAUGCAUGCCUCUUGAACUACAAGCCUUUUACUUGCAGACAAGUGAAGAAAGAAACUAAAUUUUCAUUGCAGCAAGUCCUUUUUCUUUUCCUCCACCCGAAUGAAGCAUUAAAUAUUUACAUCCAUUAUCAAUUAGAUUAAGUUGUUAGCCUUUAUAGUUUACAUGAUGAAUAAAUAAACUAAUCUGACAUUUCCUAUAAAAAUAAACCAACAAGCACACACAUAGAUAUAUUAUCAUUAGAAAAUAACUAGUAAAAUAUUACCUUGACCCUUUUGACAGGGGAAUUGAGCUUAUCGAUAUAACUUGAGCAGAAUCUCCUUCAGUGCUGAUGAUGCCCUGUCAAAGCAAGCCAUGCUAAGCUCUCUUCUCAUGUUCUAACCUCACAUGACGGUGGUGGAGGUAAACUUAGUUGUGCAAACUCUGAGCUGACAAUGAAUUUGUCCACGUGAACAUUGAGUAUAGAUUAAGUUCUGAGGGUUGCAAUUAUGCUUAGCUACCUUCUAAGCAAGUAUCUAACUAAUAUCAUUCCACAUCUCUCAUAUAUCACUAACUUUUGUUCGUAAAGGAUGCCUGUUCUGUCCAUUUGUUUUGUUGCUAGAUUCUGUUGAUGUAUAUUGUUGUCUUCUGGGGACAAAUCUUGCCAUAUUUUCUUGCAAUUUAUGUUGAUUUGGAUUCUUG